rnacentral:rRNA from 1 species
GGGAAUUUUGGACAAUGGGCGCAAGCCUGAUCCAGCCAUUCCGCGUGAGUGAAGAAGGCCUUCGGGUUGUAAAGCUCUUUCGCAAGGGAAGAAAACUUACUUUCUAAUAAAGAGUGAGGUUGACGGUACCUUGAUAAGAAGCACCGGCUAACUACGUGCCAGCAGCCGCGGUAAUACGUAGGGUGCGAGCGUUAAUCGGAAUUACUGGGCGUAAAGCGUGCGCAGGCUGUUUUGUAAGUCAGAUGUGAAAUCCCCGAGCUCAACUUGGGAACUGCGUUUGAAACUACAAGACUAGAAUAUGUCAGAGGGGGGUAGAAUUCCACGUGUAGCAGUGAAAUGCGUAGAGAUGUGGAGGAAUACCAAUGGCGAAGGCAGCCCCCUGGGAUAAUAUUGACGCUCAUGCACGAAAGCGUGGGGAGCAAAC